GACGAACGCUGGCGGCGUGCUUAACACAUGCAAGUCGAACGGAAAGGCCCUGCUUGCAGGGUACUCGAGUGGCGAACGGGUGAGUAACACGUGGGUGAUCUGCCCUGCACUUCGGGAUAAGCCUGGGAAACUGGGUCUAAUACCGGAUAGGAGCCAUUUUUAGUGUGAUGGUUGGAAAGUUUUUUCGGUGUAGGAUGAGCUCGCGGCCUAUCAGCUUGUUGGUGGGGUAAUGGCCUACCAAGGCGGCGAUGGGUAGCCGGCCUGAGAGGGUGGACGGCCACAUUGGGACUGAGAUACGGCCCAGACUCCUACGGGAGGCAGCAGUGGGGAAUAUUGCACAAUGGGCGCAAGCCUGAUGCAGCGACGCCGCGUGGGGGAUGACGGCCUUCGGGUUGUAAACUCCUUUCGCUAGGGACGAAGCUUUUUGUGACGGUACCUAGAUAAGAAGCACCGGCUAACUACGUG
rnacentral:rRNA from 1 species